rnacentral:misc_RNA from 1 species
GCACGGUCUGAUAUUUGUAGGAUGCUUAUGAUGAAGUAAAACGUGGUACUUCUUCACGGAGAGUUGCGGAAAUGCAUAAUAUUAAUCGCAUGUCAUUGUUACGAUACAUUCGUAAACGUGAUGAUGUCGGUGUUAAUUACGAUGUAAACAGCAUCAGUAUGGGAUAUGCAGCUCAUAAUAAAGUAUUUUCUAAGGAGUAAAAAGAGCUAUUAUCAAAAUAUAUCUCACCGCUUACCAUCAGUUAAGCAGUAAAAUGGUUUGCCACCCUAGUCGUAUAAAUAAAUACGGGGUACUCACGAUGAGUUGGCCAAUAAUUAAGAACAAUUUAAAUUAAAUCCUUUCAUCAGUAGAAUACUAAGUCAUCACCGACUAACAUAUAUAAGCCUACAUUUAACGGGAGAAAAGAGAACAGCGAAAAUAACGAAGGCGAAGUCACUGACGGAAAGCUAGUAAAAUGUAUAGUCAUCGUGUUAUAAAAUUAUAUUCGAGAAGAUUAAAGCCGCAAAACUAUUACGCACAGAAAACAUAGGUGUCAUAAUAUAAACAUGAAUGUGUCACGAUCAUUAAGACACGCCCUGUGUCUGAAACAAACACACUAAUAUAAUUUGAAACACAAAUAUAUAAUAUGUAAAUUGUAUGCCGAUAGCGUUAGCCUCACAAGCAGCAUUCAAAUACAUGAUAUUCCAUCACCCGUCUGUCGUUGUGACCACCUUUUUCCCGUAAUACUAAACUACCGACCGAGAUACCAAAUUUUACAUGCCAUUGGUACCAAUAGUAACAAUGGCAUCCGAAAUUUUGUGUCCUACGGAUCGCCAUGCAUGGGAUUGGUAAUCGAUGCUAUGCAUGCUAUUGGCACAUUUCAACUCCAUGAUAAGCCUAAACACUUUCCUUCAUAAAAAGACUGUAAAGGUGGACAGAGUUUAGUCAAUUAUAAAUGAAAAAGGUCUAUUGAAGUAAAUCAUUGCACUUCUUGAGGUGAAAAAAAAAUCAAAGUAAGAAAAUAAGAAUUGGUGAGCUUAGGUUUAAUAAUAAUUUAUGUUUGUUUUGGCAAGAAAAUUAGGAAAACAAAAUAUUGACUUAUAAAUUUAUUGAAAUAAAAUCUAUAAUACACUUAGUCAAAAUAUAAAAUCUACGUAUCAAAAAAUAUUUUUGAUAAUACAGUGUAAAGUUAUAAGAAACAGAAAGUAACAAAAUAUCAUUUUAUGUCUUACAUAAAAUAAUAUUUAAAUUUUUAAAAACACAAGGUAUAUAUAUGAUACAUUUAAUUGAAGACUUCCAAUAAAAGUUCAUAUUUACUGUAUAUCUAAAAAUUAAAUCUUAUGUCGAAAUAAAGAAUUUUAAAUGAAUGUGCCUUUAAAUUGAAUCAAUUUUCUAAAACUACUCAAAAUGGCUACAAUUAUUACAAUUGGUGUUUCAUCAAUGUCAGCUUGAUACAUUCUUUAAUCAACUUUAUGUGCGUCGGCAGCAAUAAAGUUAUUUACAAAGGUCAUUAUUUACUUUUAAGGAUAAUUGAGUUUUAGACUAGACGCUGAAACUCUCGUUGUAAACUCACGUUGUAAAUACGUGCGCACAUUUGUCUUAUAUACUCAGAGUAAUUAUUAGGGAACCAAUUACUAAUAUUGUUUUUAAAGGUCCUUUCUACGAAUAAUCGUCAGCUAGUAAUUUAUAAAAUUCGAUCUAAAUAAAAUACAUGUCCAUCUUAUUCCAAAUUCCAUAAGUUAUUUACAAUUAUAUUACGCCCUAAAAUAGCUCCUUAACCAUAAAAUUUGAGCAUAGCAAUACAAAAGUUUAUCACAAUAUGAGCUGGGUUGAGCUGUAGUAGCAAUUGUGCUAAAAUAAUUUUUUUUUUUUUUUUUUAAUUUAUUUAUCAAAUAAACAAUAUUGUACAUAUUUAAUAUAAAUAGCAUUAAAAACCAC